rnacentral:rRNA from 1 species
UAAAGCGUAAAAGAGCGUAGAGUGAAUGCCUUGGCAUUGGGAGCCGAAGAAGGACGUGGUUAACUGCGAAAAGCUACGGGGAGUCGUAAGCAGACAUUGAUCCGUAGAUGUCCGAAUGGAGCAAUCCGCAUGGAGAUAGUCCAUGCAUCCAUAAGUGAAUUCAUAGCUUAUGGAGGGGAACCGCCUGAACUGAAACAUCUAAGUAGGGCGAGGAAGAGAAAUCAAACGAGAUUUCGUAAGUAGUGGCGAGCGAACGCGAAAGAGGCUAAACCAAGAGAAGAAAUUCUUUUGGGGUUACGGACUGCGAUAUGUAUCUGAGGACUUAGCAGAAUGGUAUGGGAAAGCCAACCAGAGAAUGUGAUAGUCAUGUAUGCGAAAAGGAAUCAGAGCUAGCAGGAUCCAAAGUACCGCGGGACACGAGGAAUCCCGUGGGAAGUCGGGGGGACCACCCUCCAAGCCUAAAUACUACCCAAUGACCGAUAGCGAAAAGUACUGUGAAGGAACGGUGAAAAGAACCCCGGGAGGGGAGUGAAAAGAACCUGAAACUCUAUGCUUACAAGCACAUAGAGCACGUCAAAGUGUGAUAUGGUACCUUUUGUAGAAUGGUCCGGCGAGUUAUUGUAUGCAGCAAGGUUAAGGUCUUCAGGACUGAAGCCGAAGCGAGAGCGAGUCUGACAAGGGCGAUAAGUUGCAUGCAAUAGACCCGAAACCGGGUGACCUAGCCAUGUUCAGGUUGAAGUGGAGGUAAAGCUCCAUGGAGGACCGAACCGACCUCCGUUGAAAAGGCGGCGGAUGAAAUGUGGCUAGCGGAGAAAUUCCAAUCGAACCCGGAAAUAGCUGGUUCUCCCCGAAAUAGCUUUAGGGCUAGCGUUGUAUUAGAUUUCUGGGGGUAAAGCACUGAAUAGGCUAGGGGCCGAGAGGUUACUGAACCUUAUCAAACUAAGAAUACCAGAAAAUUGAUGUACAGCAGUCAGACUAUGUGAGAUAAGUCUCAUAGUCAAAAGGGAAACAGCCCAGACCCACAGCUAAGGUCCCAAAACAGAUUUAAGUGGAAAAGGAUGUGGGAUUGCCCAGACAACCAGGAUGUUGGCUUAGAAGCAGCCACACAUUAAAAGAGUGCGUAAUAGCUCACUGGUCGAGUGAUCCUGCGCCGAAAAUUCAACGGGGCUAAAAUUUGUACCGAAGCUUGGGCUUGAUACUUCGUAUCAGGGGUAGGGGAGCGUCAUGUAUGAGGUGAAGUCGUAGCGGAAGCGGCGGUGGAUUGUACAUGAGAGAGAAUGCCGGAAUGAGUAGCGAGAAUUAUGUGAGAAUCAUAAUGGCCGAAAAUCUAAGGUUUCCUGAGGAAGGUUCGUCCGCUCAGGGUAAGCCGGGAGCUAAGGUGAGGCGGAAACGCGUAGCCGAUGCACAUACGGUAGAGAUUCCGUAGCCUCCGAAAAGUAAAGCACAGGGACGCUUCAGAAGUGUUACGCCGGGCGAUGGUAGCCCCGGUUGUAAAGGACACGAUUGAGUGGAAGGUAACAUGGAUGGAGACAAGAAAAGCUGUGUGUAUCUGGAAGGAGCCCGUACCGCAAACCGACACAGGUAGAUAGGAAGAAGAUUCUAAGGCCAGCGGGAGAAGGGUUGUUAAGGAACUCGGCAAGUUGACCCCGUAACUUCGGGAGAAGGGGUGCUUACGAAGGUAAGCCGCAGAGAAUAGGCCCAAGCGACUGUUUAGCAAAAACACAGCUCUAUGCUAAAUCGAAAGAUGACGUAUAUGGGGUGACACCUGCCCGGUGCUGGAAGGUUAAGAGGAGAUGUGAGAGCAUUGAAUUGAAGCCCCAGUAAACGGCGGCCGUAACUAUAACGGUCCUAAGGUAGCGAAAUUCCUUGUCAGGUAAGUUCUGACCCGCACGAAUGGUGUAACGAUCUGGGCACUGUCUCGACUACCCGCCCGGCGAAAUUGUAGUACCGGUGAAGAUGCCGGUUACCCGCGACUAGACGGAAAGACCCCAUGGAGCUUCACUGUAGCUUAAUAUUGAAUUUUGGUAUUUCAUGUACAGGAUAGGUGGGAGACUGGGAAAUACAGGCGUCAGCUUGUAUGGAGUCACUGUUGGGAUACCACUCUUGAGGUGCUGAAAUUCUAACCUGCGUCUUUGAAUCAAGACGGGGGACAUUGUUAGGUGGGCAGUUUGACUGGGGCGGUCGCCUCCAAAAGAGUAACGGAGGCGCUCAA